GCUCUCUUAGUAUAUAAGUACAAUUGACUUCCAAUCAAUUAGAUCUAGUAGUAAGCCUAGAAGAGAACA